GGUGUAGAAAAAACAUGAGAUAUUUGUUUCCUAUGAAAAAUUAUACCCAAUUAAAAAUAAUGAAAUCAGUUUUGGGGUGCAGAAAAAACACGAAUUGUCAAUGUCUUUACAAAAUUGUAUAAUAAUAAUAAUAAAAAUACAUAUAUAAUCGCGUAAUGGAAUUAAAUGGUUAUAAAAGAGAUGGAAAUAUAAAGAGAAGAGAAAAAGAAAGAAAAAAGAGCGGUAUUGUGUCGUUAAAGGUAAGAGAAUAGAAGGAAGAUAUACACGGUGUAUAUUAUAUGCAAGACGGAAGAGUACUGUAGCUAAUAGUGGGGGUGGGAGGAGGGAUAGUGAGUGGUGGAAAAGAGGAGGGGUUGAAACAUUCGGAUAGCAAGAGUAGUAGGAGGAAAGACAGUUCAGUAGAGAGUCGGACGUCCGCCGUGGUUGAAUCAUUUUACAACCGACUCGUGUCGUCAAAAGUAAUGUGAAAAUAAAUCUAAAAUCUUAAACGCGAGAAAAGUGGUAUCUAUUAUUUAAAUAAAAAAAGAACAAAGAAGAAGAAGAAGAAGAGAAAUAAGUAUUGAAA
rnacentral:lncRNA from 1 species